CUGACAGCCCUGGAAACUGAAGAGUUUUACAUAUCCACAGAAUAGGUACAGCAGCAGUACAAACUUCCCCACCAGUAUUCCUUAAACCUAACAUAAAGGGACUGCCUCCCUUAGAAGGGAGUCCUUUUACCUAUUAAAUUUUUAUUCUUUCUGCUGAG
ensembl:misc_RNA